UACGUAGGGGGCAAGCGUUGUCCGGAAUCGUUGGGCGUAAAGAGCGUGUAGGCGGCCAGGUAGGUCUGCUGUGAAAACUCGAGGCUCAACCUCGAGAUGUCGGCGGAAACCAUCUGGCUAGAGUCCGGAAGAGGAGAGUGGAAUUCCUGGUGUAGCGGUGAAAUGCGCAGAUAUCAGGAAGAACACCUAUGGCGAAGGCAGCUCUCUGGGACGGUACUGACGCUGAGACGCGAAAGCGUGGGGAGCGAACAGG
rnacentral:rRNA from 1 species